AGCAGCUGCAGAAUGUCCAGCUAGAUCAUCUCAGCCUCUCCUGAACUGUGACCAACUGGCUUACUCAAGGGACUGGAUCUGCUGUCCCGACAUGAUGGCAAGCUGCAGCACAUCAUGCAGAUUAAAGUUCAGCCUGCCUCAGACUCAGGAUAAAAACACAUUUGGGACAGUCUCGCUCAGCCUCAUUGCAGAGACAAGAAAUGUAUGAAAAGAAAGUACAGAGAAAAAAAAAGAAUGGAAUACACAUGAAUGCCGAACCACAUUGGAUAUGUAGCUGUUCAUGAAGAUAUUCCAGGGAAGGCCUAUCUAGUAGAGCCUCAAAUCUAUUUGAAUACAAAUGGCACUCAUUAAGGACAUCUGUCUUCUGUAAUGUCUACACAAAGUCUUACCGGGGUCUUCUUGGCUCUUAUUGACGGCUGAUGAAGGAGGGGUUUAUAAAGAAAACAAGCCAAAACCUGAAUAACUUGCUACUGAGAGCAGCACACAUAUUUUCCCAAAGUGCAAAGUUGAGAAGAAGUACAAAGCUUUGUUAAUAUUC
ensembl:lncRNA novel transcript